rnacentral:lncRNA from 1 species
AUGCCUGGAGUUACUGUAAAAGACGUUAACCAGCAGUUCCUCAGAGCUCUGGCAGCCUUCCUCAAAAAUUCUGGGAAGUUGAAAGUCCCCAAGUGGGUGGACACAGUCAAGCCUGGCCAAACAUAAAGAGCUUGCCCCAUAUGAUGAGAACUGGUUCUUCCACAGCACAGCACCUGUACCUCCGAAGUGGUGCAGGGGUUGGUUCCAUGACCAAGAUCUACUGAGGAUGGCAGAGAAACGGUGUCAGACCCAGCCACUUCAGCAGAGGCUCUAAGAGUGUGGCCCAUCGGGUCCUCCAAGCCCUGGAGGGGCUGAAAAUGGUGGAAAAGGACCAAGAUGGGGGCCACAAGCUAACACCUCAGGGACAGAGAGAUCUGGACAGGAUCGCUGGACAGGUGGCAGCUGCCAACAAGAAGCAUUAG